CGAAAGGGUGACGAAGCGACGCCGCGUGUGGGAAGAAGGCCUUCGGGUUGUAAACCACUGUUGGGAGUUAGGAAGUGUGGGGGUGUUAAUAGCAUCCUUACUUGACUAAGGCUCCGGAGGAAGCCACGGCUAACUCUGUGCCAGCAGCCGCGGUAAUACAGAGGCGGCAAGCGUUGUUCGGAAUUAUUGGGCGUAAAGAGCACGUAGGCGGCUCUGUAAGUCAGCUGUGAAAGCCUUCUGCUUAACGGAAGAACAGCAGUUGAAACUACAGGGCUUGAGUGCGGGAGGGGAGAGUGGAACUUCUGGUGGAGCGGUGAAAUGCGUAGAUAUCAGAAGGAACGCCGGCGGCGAAAGCGGCUCUCUGGUCCGCAACUGACGCUGAGUGUGCGAAAGCUAGGGGAGCAAACGGGAUUAGAUACCCCGGUAGUCCUAGCCGU
rnacentral:rRNA from 1 species